UUUGAUGAUUGCUAUAUAUUACCCUAGUUGAUAACAUUGUUUUAUUUAUUCGCAGGUUAUAUCUUCAAGCAACGAUUAGUUAAACUUGCUGAUUGAAAAGAUGUUCCAAAAUGUAUCGGGAUGUUGGCCUUCUUUUAAGCUGUUCCAAAGCUUAUGUGGACCCUUGGCUUACUUCUUCUAAGAAGUGGCCCGAUGAAUGGAUAUAAUUUCAAAGUAUGUUUAAGUGAAUUGAAGAAUAAAAGAUUAUUGCUCCUAAAAGAAAA